CUAUUGGCAACGAUCGACCGUUACGACGUUUGAGAUGUCAUGGUAGUUGUUAUGGUUGUGAAUCGUAGCCUAGCAUGUUUAGUUCAUAAUAUAGCUUGAUUCUACGUCAUUGUACAUCAAUGAAACCGUUUCACUCAGACGAAGAGGAAGAGGAGCAGUUGGGUGCUUAUCAUAAAGAACUGAGACAGCGGGCCAACAAGAGUAUACAGCAUCUAAGCAGUACUCUAGGUCAUCUGUCACCUGAUGAAGAGGAGGAGGGUCCCAGAGGUAGAGAUGGCAGGUUCUCCAGUGCCAUGUCUGAAGAAGAAAAGGCUGCAUGGAGUCAAAAGACACAGAGCGAAGCGGCUAAUCAGCUGUGGAGCCUCCUGUUGAAGCAGGGCAAAGACAUUCCUUCUUCUCUCUCGCCUUCAAAGAAACAGUCUCCAUCCAAGCAGGAAGGAAGGACUAGUUUACCCACUUUUCAGAAUUUGGUCCCAACUAUUCACAACCAGUCAGAGUACGUCCAGCACCUGGAAGCUGAGGUCAAAUUCUACAAGGAGGAGCUGAAGGCUCUGGAGCAGCGGGUCGAAGUGGUGAUGGUGGAGAAUGAGAAGUUACAUUCAGAACUCAAAUCCAAAGCUGCUGAUGAUUCUCUGAAAGACUAUACUAUUAGAAAUACUACGGUGAACGAGAGUUUGCCAGACAAUACAGGCCAUAGCAUGCUGCAGAGAACAGAACACACUCCAUGGAAAAAUGAACUGGAACAAUUAAAAGGCAUUUACCAGGCCCAGAUUGAAAGCUUGGAGGCGCAAGUCAUCUCCCUCAGGAAGGAUCUUUCAGUCAGUCAGAAGGAGUGUGAGGAACUGAAGGUUCGUCUGAGACACAGGGAGAAACAGGCGGCAGAUAAACUGAAGUCUGACAAAGCCCCACGUGUUGAAGGACUGUGUCUGAAGUGUGCACAGCACGAGGCUGUGUUGGCCGGGACUCACACUAAUCUGCAUGUCCAGACUAUUGACAGACUGACAAAGGAGCGUGAUGAGUUACUGGUGGCUCUGCAAACUGUGCGGGCUAGUCAGCAGGAGUCUCAGCAGAGGGAGUGGUCAGCCUGUCUCCAGGUCAAACAGGCUGUGGAGAUGGCAGAAGAAGCAAAUCUAUACAAAGCUAGGGUGGAGGUGCAGUGUGAGCAGAUGUCCAGGGAGCUCGCUCGCCAGAGGGAACACCGAGAACAAGAAGCACAGGUUUUACAGAAGAGACUUUCUGAGGCCAGAGAGGAGGGUCGGGCUGAGGCCCGCAAACAGAAAGAGGAGCUGGCACAUGCUGUGGCUGGUCUCUCCCAGGAAGUAGCUGAGUUGCAAGGGCAACUGGACCGAGCUCAAAGAGAUAAGAACUCAUUGACCAGUCAGCUGGAGGAUACUCUUAACAAAUUAACCAGUCAGGAACAAGACAAUACCAAGGUGUGUGUGGAUCUGCGUUAUCAGCUCAGCCAGGCCCAGCUGAAGAAAGACGAAACAGAGCGAGAGAUCCGAGAGCUGAAAACCAAGACCAGCAGACAAAUGGAAAAGGCAGCACAGGAAGUGGAAAGGCUGAGCUCAGAGCUGGUUGGCUGUCGGCAGCAUCUGGAGGCGGUCCAAAAGGAUGGGAGCCAAUGGCAGGCCGAAGCCCUGAGCCUAGCAGAACAGCUGGCAAAUGCCCAGCGCCAACUGCACCUCACCAGACAGGAAAGAGAGAGCGCAGAACGGGCUCAUGAGGAAGAAAUGGCAUCUGCGACUCAGUCUGCGCGGGAAAAGGAGAGAGAGCUGAAUGUGCUGCUGGAGAAAACAGAGGCUGAACACCAGCUGAGAGUUGGAGAGAUGGACGUUCUACUGAGUUCCCAGAAUUCCCUGAUCAGGAAACUGAAGGAAGAGUGCUGCACGCUUGGAGUCCGACUGGAAGAAGUUACAGAAAAUAACAGAAGUGAGAUGGAGCAGCUCAUCCUGGAGAAACAACACCUUGAGGAGACAGUGAAGAGUCUGAGAGCUCGCUGCUCCGACAUGGAAGAACAGUGUGUCCAACACGGCCGCAUGCACCAGCGCAUGAAGGAAAGACGAGUGCCCACUCAAAGGAGAACCGCUCCAGAACACUACAGGACUGCAGCAGUUGGACCGUCACUGUCAGAGCAGCGCCCAGCAGGUGUGUGAGCUGCUGGCCAAACAGAACCAGCUGAUGCAGGAGAGAAACACACUCAGCGAGGAGAUGCAGAGCCUGCACACAGAGCUACCCAACAUGAGACGAGUUGAUGGCGUGUCCACCUGAGUCCAUUCUGCCCAUUUCCUCCUGGGUCUGGAUGAAAUCUUCUGCAGAUUAGAAAUUAUCAAACUGUUUCUGUUUACCUCAGGGUGAAGUGCAAGGAGAA